GUCCACGCUGUAAACGAUGUCAACUAACCGUUGGGCUUCUUUUAGGAGCUUAGUGGUGGAGCUAACGUAUUAAGUUGACCGCCUGGGGAGUACGGCCGCAAGGUUAAAACUCAAAUGAAUUGACGGGGGCCCGCACAAGCGGUGGAGCAUGUGGUUUAAUUCGAUGCAACGCGAAGAACCUUACCUACCCUUGACAUCCAGAGAAUCUGUUAGAGAUAGUAGAGUGCCUUCGGGAGCUCUGAGACAGGUGCUGCAUGGCUGUCGU
rnacentral:rRNA from 1 species